UGAGACAGGCGGAUAGUCGCUCUCAUCUUCUUGAUGGGAGAGGAAAGUCCGGACUCCUGGGUUCUUUUAUUAGGACCGGCGAUAGUGGGUAAUGCCCACCGAAUCCUACACUAGGAUUUAGGGAAAGUGCCACAGAGACAAUACUAGUUCAUUUUUAAUGGACGAAAGGUGAAAAGUUGGCUUUUGAUAGCCUUCGCCCUUUGGCGACAAAGGCGCGCGGUAAACCCUAUCGGGGAGCAAGAACAAACUUUGUUUCUGUUUGAAGCAAAGAAAAAGUAGUUCGCCAGACCUUAAUAGUAAUAUUAGGGCUAGAUAAAUGGCUAUCCAAGGGAAUUAAUUUUUCCGGGACAGAAUCCGGCUUAUAACCUAUCUCAGUUA
rnacentral:RNase_P_RNA from 5 species